AGAGUGAACGCUGGCGGCAGGCCUAACACAUGCAAGUCGAACGGCAGCACAGGGGAGCUUGCUCCCUGGGUGGCGAGUGGCGGACGGGUGAGGAGAACGUCGGAAUCUGCCUAUUUGUGGGGGAUAACGUAGGGAAACUUACGCUAAUACCGCAUACGACCUACGGGUGAAAGCGGAGGACCUUCGGGCUUCGCGCAGAUAGAUGAGCCGACGUCGGAUUAGCUAGUUGGCGGGGUAAAGGCCCACCAAGGCGACGAUCCGUAGCUGGUCUGAGAGGAUGAUCAGCCACACUGGAACUGAGACACGGUCCAGACUCCUACGGGAGCAGCAGUGGGAAUAUUGGACAAUGGGCGCAAGCCUGAUCCAGCCAUGCCGCGUGUGUGAAGAAGGCCCUUGGUUGUAAAGCACUUUGUACCGGAAAGAAAGGCAACGGUUAACUACCCGUGGU
rnacentral:rRNA from 1 species